rnacentral:rRNA from 1 species
UACGUAGGUGGCAAGCGUUGUCCGGAUCUACUGGGCGUAAAGCGCGUGUAGGCGGCUCGUUUAGUCUGUCGUGAAAUCUCCCGGCUUAACCGGGAGGGGUCGACGGAUACUGGCGGGCUUGAGGGGAGCAGAGGAAGGUGGAAUUCCCGGUGUAGUGGUGAAAUGCGUAGAUAUCGGGAGGAACACCAGUGGCGAAGGCGGCCUUCUGGGCUCUACCUGACGCUGAGACGCGAAAAGCGUGGGGAGCGAACCGG